GGUGCUCCGGGGCCCGACAAGCACACGCGAUGCAGAGCAGCACGCACGGUGGCGCUCGCACAGGGGAUGUCUGCCACUCCGAGCCGCGACGAUGUGACGCUGCGCCCUGCGCGCACGGUGCCAGGGUAGGUACGAGUGAUUCGGUGCGAGUUGCGUCCUAUUACCUGCACCUGCUACCGACAAUAUAUGUACAAAGAAAGAUGUCCACUGCUGGACAGAGUUUGCCAUAGACGUUGGUUCGCUCGCCACUCAGCGUCUCGUCGCAGCGAUAAUCGAACAAGUCGGAACCGUAUACUCCACAUACUCCUACAAUAUGCAGUGUACCUUACAAUUAAAAAUAUAUCCGUUUACUCUGU